rnacentral:lncRNA from 1 species
UUUUUUUUUUUUUUUUUUUUUUUUUGUCUUUUUAGGGCCGCACCUGCGGCAUACGGAAGUUCCCAGACUAUGGGUCGAAUUGGAGCUUCAGCUGCUGACCUACCUCACAGCCACAGCAAUGCAGGAUCCAAGCCACGUCUACAACCUACAGCACAGUUCACACCAAUGCCAGAUCCUUAACCCAUUGAGGGAGGCCAGGGAUUGAACCCAAGUCCUCAUGGAUACUAGAUAGGCUCAUUAGCACUGCGCCACAACGGGAACUCUGCAAUAGGUAUUUCCACCUCAUAGCAGGAAAUGGCAGGAUACUGCGUAAUAGUGUCAUGUGUUUCCACCAGAUGAAGGCCUCAGUGUGUAAAAGUUGCAAGGUAAUGUUCCUUCUUCCUCAGAAAUUUAGCCGUAAGUCUAAAAUAUCAACUGCCUAGACCAGCCCUUCCAGAGAUGACCAGAUGGUCUUCCACUGUCUAGGUAAACAUGUUUCCAUCAUUCCCCCUUCCUGUCCACAAAUUCUCGAAGGAAGAGAGAAGAACCCAAUGUAAAUAAGCAUCUUCUUCAUUCAUCUUGCAGAGAUGGGGAGGCAGCAGGCCAAUUUAAUGGUAAAGAACUAGGUUGUAAAUCUGCCAUUGCUAAUAGAGAUGUGUAUGAGGUGCUAGAGAAAUCCAAGGAUGGAAAUAAAGGUCAAAAUUCAGCAAAGGAGUGAAUCAUGAAAGACUUUUAAUGCCAGGAUUUUUUUUUCUUUUUUUUAAGGGCCGUACCUCCAGCAUAUGGAAGUUCCCAGGCUAGGGGUCCAAUCAAUUGGAGCUGCAGCUGCUGGCCUACGCCACAGCCACAGCAAUGCCAGAUCUGAGCCACAUCUGCAACCUACGCUACAGCUUGCAGCAACUCUGAUCCUUAACCCACUGAACGAAGUCAGGGAUCAAACCUUCAUCCUUAUGGAUACUAGUCAGAUUCCUUUCCAUUGAGCCACAACAGUAACUUCAGGACUGGGUUGUUGUGUCUUGCUUUGUGUUGUUUUGUUUUUUAACUGCAAAAUUUAUCUUAUUUUUUUACUUUACGGAAAAAUUUAGGUACUAGAAACCACAUGAUGUUUAACAUGUAUCAUUUGAUCAUUUUUGACAGAUAUACAUCUUCAGAGUCAUUACUGUAAUGAAAAUAAACAAACACAGCCAUGAUCCCCCCAGAGUUUCUUCACACCCCUUGUCC